GACCCUUUAGCUUAGUUGGUUAGAGCGUGUGAUUGUUAACCACAAGGUUGAAGGUUCGACCUUUUUAGUUUU
rnacentral:tRNA from 1 species